GAUGAACGCUGGCGGCGUGCCUAAUACAUGCAAGUCGAGCGAACAGACGAGGAGCUUGCUCCUCUGACGUUAGCGGCGGACGGGUGAGUAACACGUGGAUAACCUACCUAUAAGACUGGGAUAACUUCGGGAAACCGGAGCUAAUACCGGAUAAUAUAUUGAACCGCAUGGUUCAAUAGUGAAAGACGGUUUUGCUGUCACUUAUAGAUGAAUCCGCGCCGCAUUAGCUAGUUGGUAAGGUAACGGCUUACCAAGGCAACGAUGCGUAGCCGACCUGAGAGCGUGAACGGCCAGCCUGGAUGUGAGACACGGUCCAGACACCGACGGUAGGAAACAGUACAGACUCUUCCGGGAGGCAGGAAAGGCGGACGUAGCACCGUCGGGUGAGUGAUGAAGGUCCUAGGCUCCGAAAACUAUGUAAUCCGGGAAGUAGAAAAGUGCAAGUACCUAUGCACGUCUUGACGGUACCGAGUCAGAAAGCCACGGCUAACUCCGUG
rnacentral:rRNA from 1 species